AUGAAGAGAUGAGAGGCCGAUUUAAUAUAACUCAGUCACUGGGAGAAAAAACAAGGAAACAUUGCCAAGUAGAGACGGUACCAUUUGAUUCAAUCUCUUUCCCACAAGGGCUGCUCAAACUGAAAAUGCUGCUGACGUAUUUGGAGAAGCAGUUUAUUUUCACUCUCUGCCAUACCCUUGCUUUGACGCUAUUUUAUUGCACCUGCUAUCCAAAUCUGUCUCUAAGAAAUACUUCCACGCUGCUCAAGUUCUAAUCAUACCAACUCCGACAGGCUGUUGAAAGAGGUGUUUCUGUGGGUUAAGACAGCCUGGAAACUUAAGGACAAGUUUGAGCUCCACAGGGAAAAGCUGGCCCACGGAAGCCUGGUCAUUGAUUCUAAUUCAGGAAGCGUGAGUUGACCACAAGGCACUCAAAGUGGUGCUGCCUGUGACAUUGGCAUAUGAGUCUCUCCCCACUCCUUCCUUUUGCAAUAGGGCGCCAUAUGAUACAAGACUUUGGAGUCAGGCUGCCCCAGGUUCCACUUCCAGCGCCACGACUUACCCACCCACCUUGGGUACGAUCUUUAACUGCUCUGAGCUUCAGCUUCCUCAUUGUCAAUUGGGGAUAAAAGUACUUACUGUAAAGAGUUUUUGUGAAGAUUAAAUGAGAUAAUGCAUAUAAAGUGCUUAGCAAAGCGACAUCUUGGAAAGGCUUACAACAUAUUAGUGGCGCUGGUGUUGCUACUGUUAGCCUCUAACCACCAGCAUCCAGUUUGCUUUCGCCAUUCAUUCUAUGCACCUUGAAAGGGGUAACUCCUCCUCCCCUUCCCACAUAGCCACAGAAUUUGUAAAUGAUAAAUGAUGGCUCCAGGUUGAACCACUCAAACCACACAUUACAAGAACACUGAAAAGUUCUCCACACCACGCCGGUGGGCAGUGUUUAAAGGAAGAAAUCAAGUUGAUCCUCCAUUCUUCCUUUUCCCCACACUGGAAAAGAAAAGGCAGAGGCCUUUUACUUUCCCCUGGACACACGGGAAAUGACUGUCCUUGAAAGUCAGCAGCAGCAUCCAGGAAUUGGUUAGAAAUUCAAAUAAUCACCUUCCACUCCAAAUCACAUCUACUGAAUCCAAAUCUUUAGGGGUAGGGCCCAGGAACUGGAAUUUUAAUGAGUACUCCAGGGAAUUCUUAUGUAGGAUAAGGUCUGCGAAGCACUAGGUUGCGACACUGAGGUUCCCAAACCCAGCUGAGCAUCAAAAUUGCCUGGGAAGUUCAGUUAAAAUUUUAGAUUUAUGGCAUUACCCCAUCUCUGCAGAUUCAGAAUUUCCAGGGGUGAGGUCUAGAAUCUAUUUUUAAAAAGCUCCCCACGUGAUUCAUGAGCCACUGGCUAAAAGAGAGGAUAGCGCUGGUGUGGUCAGACUAAGACACGGAGUAGUUGGUUCCAGAGAAGUGAUUUAACAAAUUUAUUCUCACCCAAGCACUUUGCCCUGUUUUCAAUAUACAACUCGGGUGCUCUCUAAUCACAGAGCAGAAGCUGACCACAUCAUGUGAGACCUACUGGAGACAGGCCAUAGAUACUGGGAAAGAACCUGGAGCUCAUCUGGUGAAGAUCUGGCACCUCUGACUGGUAAAAGGGGAAACCAAGGCCCAGAUGGAGGCAGUGACUUGUCCAAAGUCCCCCUCCAGAGACCCGGAAGCAGCUGAAUAGGGGCAGUGCUGAGUCUCGAACUCAGGUGUCCUGGCUUUAGUCCAAUGCCUUUUUAAAAAAGAACUCUGAUCUUCUCUUGAGGAACACAGACUCAGUCUCUGGCCUGUGGUUAAAAGCAUGGCUCAGAGAGAACGAGUGGGAACCCCAACUCUGUCACUCACUAGGUGUGAGACCUUCAGCAAGUCUCGAACUCUCUACGCCUCUGUGCCCUUAUUUGCAAAAUGAGUUGUUUUGAGCAUUAGGUUGUGGGGAGGAUUUGGGUGAGAUAAUGCAUACAUAAAGUACUUAUUAUAGUCACAGGCAUAUAAUAAGAGUUCAGUAAAUGGUAUCUAUAUGAAGUCAAAUUAAUUUUGUUUUCAGUUCACAAAACAGCUGCUUGAUUGAAAAGCAGUCGUUUCCUGGUUAAGGUGACCAUUUAUUCAAACAUACGUACUAAGGUAUCUACCAUAUCCAAGGCUCAAAUAUGGGAGAGAAAUGAAUUGAUGCUGAGCCUCCUGCCAAGGAGAAAAGGAUAGAACAUGGGUACCAAGAACUAUAAUAACAAGGGAGAGCAUGCCAAGCAUCAUACGAGAUACAGAUAAGUGUCUACGAAGGUGGAGAGAGACAGAAAGGACAGCAGCCUGAAGGACUAGGAAGAGGUUUCCUGGGGAAGAAGAUAUGUAAGUUACUCUUUAAAAGAGGGUAUGAUCUGAGCAUGUGAAGCUGGGUGAGAUGACCAAGUAAAUUCAAAGGCCCAAAGGCAAAGAGAUAGGACUAGAAUGGAAGGAAAAUUCAGAGACAGAAGCAAAAGCAGAUUGCAAGAAAUACAGGAUUUGUGGAGAAUAGCUUGAGAGAUGGGAAUGGAUUUGCGGAUGUGAGAGAGGUGAGAAGGUAGAUUCUAAAUGAUCUGAAGUGUGUGAUGAAGGAAUUUCUAGUUGUCCACUAGGCAAUGGGGAGCUAUGCAAAGUAAGCAAAUAGGGUACCAAGGAGAUCUUGCUCCUAGUCAUCACUGAUCUGUUAGUGGUGUGUGGCAGCGAUUAGAGAGAAAAGACUGAAGAAGCACCUAGAUGGAAAUAUUUCUUAGACAUCAGUCCUAAGGAGAGAGGGGGAGAGAAGCAGAGAAGGCUAGAAUUAGGGUAGGGAUGUACAGAAGAGGCGAGAGACAUAUCUGAGAUGGAAUUAAGGGAAACUGAUAACUGGCUGGUGUGGGGUCAGGGGAAGGGGACGGCUGGCAUGGCCUUGUCUAAAGAGUGAAAGAUUCCCUGGGUGGGCCACUGGAACAUCAUGAUACUACUGCUACAGAAAUGGUAAAGGUAAGUCUUGGGAGGAAAGACAAAUUCCGGAAGGCAGGUAAAGGGACGAGGGUUUUAGAGCUAGACUAACCGCUUAAGAUAGUAACAGCCAGCGCGCAUAUCCUUAAGAUGUAUGCCGACUCUUUUCUCUCCCAAAGACGCAGAGUGCAAAUUAAACGCAAUAUAAAUGGGGUUAUCGUGGUGUAGGCGGUCCUUUCUGAAGUCCCGUCCCUCAGUUCCCAGAGUUACCACUGGCAGUCCCACGUGUGAGCUGCCACCUAAAAUUGCCAAUGGAAAUUAAGGUCCUGCGCAGCAAAAUAUUUAUACAACUGCAGGGGCCACUCAGCAGGGUGCGGAGGCGGGGAUGGAGGAGGAGUAAAGGCUGUUUACAAACUUGACGUACACACGCAGCCCUACCCUUAAGGUUCUGGAAUUGGGGGUUACCAUGUCGGGAUCUGGGGACGCUCUGAUGCCCCGGGUUCUGAAGCCUGACUUAUGAGCACCGGGGCCAUAACCUUUCGAAGCACAGGAUUCCUGCGCUCUGGCCCUAGAUCUUGGGGCAGCGAUGACUCACUGCAACAGCCCCUGCUCCUUCGCCAAACUGCCGUCUCCGCCCACCCCCAAACCACGUCCACAGAGCGCUGCGGCUCCGGGCGCUUUGCUGGGGGCUAAAGGGUCUCAUCCCCCAUCCCUGUAUCCUAGCAGGCUAAACCUUCCCCCGCGCCCAGUCUUCAAGUUUGCCUCGCUCCCCACCGGACCUCUCCAUUGAGCAGCCGAGAUAGACGCGACAUCUAGACGGGGUACUCUGGAUCCACGAGCAGCGCGCGGACAAGGCAGCAGAGCGUCCGGGCUGAGAAGAGUCAAAAAGAACAGCUUACCUCCCAUUGACUUCAAAGGGAGCCUGGGGCUGGUGUGUGCAGCCGCAAAGUCCUGGAGGUGUGUUCAUCCAGCAAGUCUCGCCUCUGUUGAGAUUUAACUCUGUGCCUCGUGCUGAGCUAGAAGCUGAGGACCAGGGAAGAGCAGGACCCUCAUGGAACUUGUGGCUGGCGUGUUGUCGAGAGCUGGAACAUGCCACAACUUUGUAAUAUUGCUCUUCUACAUGGAUUUCCGUACACAGGGUCUCUAGGAGUCGGAACCAACUUGACAGCACUAACCACAAAAGCAUGGAUUUCUAUAUUCUAUCAUUCUUCUCAAGUAAAGCUUGGAUCUGCUCCUUUCCCUUUGAACACUGAGGGCUCCGUCUCCAAGUUCCUUUGCUAGAAGGCAUAUUAUGAAACGGGAUGUAUCGUCAGAGACGCAGGGCUGCUGUGUUUCACAUCUCCAGGCAGCACCAUUGGAUAUCAUUGUCUACGUGGAUAGUGCCCCUGGAACUGGGCAGUACACAGCCUGCACAGCCCCAUUCAGUGACCCCAUUUCAACAAUAUCUACUGGGAAAACUUGCAUUUUGAAAGAAGAUUCCAAUCAAGGAUGCAUCUUGACCUCAUUAGAAUUUUCACAUGGAAGGAAUUACACAUGGAAAGCCCAUUCUGGAGAAAAAACAAAACAAAACAAAAUGAAAAGCAAAAAGAAUCUGAAAGGAAAGGAGUGGUGAUGAAGCAUAAAGAUGGAGAAAUGUGCUAUCAAGCAGGAAGAAAAGCUUUCCAGUAAAAUGCUGAAUAAAAGAUGGGAAUACAACGUGAGAAUCAAGAAAUCUAAGAGACUGGAUGCCGAAGCAGAGGAAUGAAGCUCCCGGCUGAUAACAGAAGGUGCAGGAUAUCAAGAUCUGAAGGUGACUGCAGAGAAAGGUGUUACCACUCUCUGCCUGCCUCAGGCCCCUGUGCAGAUCUGGAACAAGUUCACUCAGCAAAGGAGAAGAGGAUGGAGAGGGCGUGUUGCAUUGCAGCUGGGUCCCCGCCGUACAAGAGGGUGCUGACUGGGAGCAAAGAAGAGGCGCUUUUCUCCUUUAACUGGCAGGUGAACAGCCUACUUCUAAGGAGGGAUGCCCAACUUGAGAACAUUUGUGAUCAUCAGCUUCUCGUGAAAGGAAAUCAAGUCAUAAAGCCAAGCCAGGGUGUCUCAGAACAAAGCAGAGAAUUUUCUGGAGUUGGGGGUAUGGGUGCAUGGAGCUGAGGAGCAAAUGCCAGAAGUCACAUCCAAUGACUGAGAUCUUCCCAAAACGAGGAGCAUUACAUGGGCAGAGGGCAUCAAGUCACAACGACAGAGUGGGCAGAGAAACCCAACAACAAAUAAAGGGUAUCAUGGUGAGCAGACGGUUAUUAACAGCAUCUACAAGAGCCCAUGCAGGUCUGCAGGCACUUGUAGCAAUUUGGCAUUAAAAGGUGCCAACAGGGUGGCCGGCCCCAUGGCCGAGUGGUUAAGUUCACGCACUCCGCUUCGGCGGCCCAGGGUUUUGCUGGUUUGGAUCCUGGGCACGGACAUGGCACCACUCAUCAGGCCUCGUUGAGGCAGCAUCCCACAUGCCACAACUAGAAGUACCCAUAAGUAGAAUAUACAACUAUGUACUGGGGGGAUUUGGGGAGAAAAAGCAAUAAAAACAAAAAAGAUUGGCAACAGUUGUUAGCUCAGGUGCCAAUCUUUAAAAAAAAAAAAAAAAGGUGCCAACAGGGAGGAGCAGAGAAAGCUCAGGUCACCAUAUGGCACUCGGUGCCUCAGGGAGUGAUAAUACAUGGAGUUAAUGAGAGGUGGGGAUAAAGAUUAACUAAAGACUAACAAGACCAUAGAAUUUAUUGCCCAAACAAGGCCAGGACAAUUUGGGGAGUGAAAGUGGGGACUAUGAAUAAUCAUACCAGGCAACUCAGCACAUAGGGGCUCUCCACCAAGAGCAAACAAUGCUAGAGCUGAACGUUGGCUCUCAUCAAGCCAUUGAGGCUAAGGGUUCAGGCUGUGGAGUCAACUGCCUUGGUUCAAACACGAACACUGCUACUUACUGACUGUGUGAUCUUGGGCAGGUUGUUUAACCUCUCUGUGCUGUGGGAAGCUGAGGCAGCUUUCCACAUGCCACAACUAGAGGGACCCACAAGUAGAAUACACAAUUAUGUACUGGGAGGAUUUGGGAAGAAAAAGCAGAAAGAAAAAAAUUUUUUUCUUGAAAUAAAGUGAAAUAACACUUGAUGGAGUUGAUAAACAAAAAUCUCAUUAAUUGCAAUGUCACUAAUUAAAAAAAAUUGUGUGGUUACUUGAACCAGUGUGAAGUAAAGUUAUGCAUACAAAAUUUGUGAUGAUCAUGCAUGUAAGUAUAAAUUUCCAAUAAUCCAGAUUACAGUUGGAAAAAUUAAACUCUAGGAGGAAGAACUUUCUAUGCCUUGUAGAAUAAACCUUUCAAUAUUCAUAUGUAACUAUUCUGCCAUUUUAUUAAAGCAGGAAACCUCAACAUUGAGGCAGUCCUUUCGCUGGUUUCAGA